GACGAACGCUGGCGGCGUGCCUAAUACAUGCAAGUUGAGCGCUGAAGGUUGGUACUUGUACCAACUGGAUGAGCAGCGCACGGGUGAGUAACGCGUGGGGAAUCUGCCUUUGAGCGGGGGACAACAUUUGGAAACGAAUGCUAAUACCGCAUAAAAACUUUAAACACAAGUUUUAAGUUUGAAAGAUGCAAUUGCAUCACUCAACGCUGAUCCCGCGUUGUAUUAGCUAGUUGGUGAGGUAAAGGCUCACCAAGGCGAUGAUACAUAGCCGACCUGAGAGGGUGAUCGGCCACAUUGGGAAGGAGACACGGCCCAAAAUCCUACGGGAGGCAGCAGUAGGGAAUCUUCGGCAAUGGACGAAAGUCUGACCGAGCAACGCCGCGUGAGUGAAGAAGGUUUUCGGAUCGUAAAACUCUGUUGGUAGAGAAGAACGUUGGUGAGAGUGGAAAGCUCAUCAAGUGACGGUAACUACCCAGAAAGGGACGGCUAACUACGUG
rnacentral:rRNA from 1 species